CGUGACAUGAGUUUUGCUUUCAAGAAUUUGGGGUACUAUGCCCCCCAAACUCCUGCACCGAUCUUCUUGAGGCUUGGUAGACUUCAUCCUCUCUUCAGAGUCUACCACUCCUGAAAAUGUCAUCCAAAUUGGACAAAAACCAGCAAAGUUAUAGAUAUUUUAUUGUUUCUCCAUUAUACCCUAUGGCCGGAUCUCCGAGGCGGCUCCGAACCGCUUCAGGAAGCCGAAUGAUGCUAGCGCUUCGACCUGGAUGUGCUGCUUCAGACCCUGAAGCAUCCAAAUCUUCUCCAGAUCUGAAGCUCUGUCCGAAGCCUCACACAGCCCUACUGGGCAGGGCUGGGGCUGCUGCUCAGGGAAAACCAGGACCCCAAAAGAUAAGUGCUGAACUGCAGGUAACUAGAAAAAGUGAUUGUGGGGUCCUGAUCUGCUAUACUGAGAGGGUCUUUCUGGAGGGCUGUGGUGCUGAAGGAACUGACCAGCACGGUGCUGUCUGUUUACAGUUGCAGGAUUUUCAGGUCCCAAAGUCCUUGGAUGUGGGCAUUGAGGUGGACGUUGUUUACCUGGACUUCAUGAAGGCCUUUGACACUGUUUCUCACCCCAUGCUUGUAAAUAAACUAAACAACUGCGGCACUGAUGCCUACACAGUCAGCUGGAUGGCAAAUUGGCUUGAUGGUUGCACCCAGAGAGUGAUGAUGGACAGACCUUCAUCUAAAACCUGGGAACAAAGUAAACGACAAAAUCAGGAUGGAGAAAGGGGAAUUGGGAUUCAAUCUCUGCAUCCCAUGGACUCCAAAAAACUGCUAAGGACCGUUGUAUAUGUGAUAGCUGAACAAGGUGCAUGAGAUAUCUCUGGCAUCACAGAUGCAUCGUUGAUACACAAACAUGGCCAUUUGUCAUGCAGGGUUUAUACCAUUUCUUUCCAAGGCCUGUCAGGUAAUCUGUGCAUAUAAGAAGUUUUUUGAGGUGUGCCAUCAACUCCAAUGACUUCGCCUGCCAUCUUAGAUUCUCUCCCCACGGACAGGCCACAACAAUACGCCCUCAGUGUGUGUGAAGUUUGGUUCAUGCUGGUACAAUGAGGGGAAGGGGGGAACCCAUGCUUGGCAGGUGCUGCAGUCAAAAGAAGCCCCUGAUAAUACUAUUCCAAUGGAGGCAUGCUACCAGGGAGCUGGAUGACACCCAGGGCCACUGCAGAGGCCCUCUGUGCGCAUAGCUGUGAUCUCCUAUGGAUCUCAAAAGAACCUCCUAGUUUGUGGUGCUUUUCGUGGAGGAAGCAAUCUCUUCAUUUCUCCCCCGUACUGCCCUGGAACGAGACAGAUUUCUUUGUUUUUGUCCACAGAAGAGAACAAUCUGAGAAAUGAAUACUUCAACACAAUCUGAAAGAGAAUUAGAUCUCCCAGCAGUUUGGAUAUUGCUUCCAGUCUGAGACGUAUGGAUGUGUAUCACUAUCUUUUGAGCAGUGGCUCUCAGCCGCUUUACUCAUCUGAAUUUAGCAGCAUCCUCUGCGGAUGCGGGCAGAAGAAACCCCUCCUUUUGCCACACAAGGGAGACCAGCCCCCCACCCCCACCUUUGCCUCAAUGCGUGAAGCUCAUGGGGUACCCUUUGCCUGCCAGGAAGUGCAGAGAUAGGAGAAGCACUUCCUCUAUCCUGUCUGGCAUUGCCACUCUGGGCUCUCAGGUGAGCCAGCCCAGCAGCAGCACCCUUAUGGCAACCACUCCCAUCAGGCUAGGCUGCAAUGGGAUGCACCCCCCUGCAACAUCCAUUUCCCAGUCUGACCACAAACAACACAUUUAGAAACAGUGUCUCUAUCGUCUGAUGGACAGGGCUGAUGCCUGAGUGCUAGAAGACUGGAAUUCUGUCUUCAGCUCUAUCACUUCCUCUGUGUGACCUAUAUUAGGUUGCCAUCAUUUUGCACAUUCAUUAAUUAUGAUGAUUAUGACAUUGAUGAUAUUUUAUGACAGGCAAGGAUUUAUUACAUCUGUUUAUUACCCAAGUAGACAGACCACAGAUCUGAUCCAGAAUGGAAUGUUUUAUAUCCCUCUACUUCUUUUGCCGUGUUUCAUGGUAGGAAUAAUAAGUUGCUACUGUUUUUUACAUGGAUUUACAUGCGAGGGCCAUGAAGCAACAGAGGUGGAACUAUAAUUCUAUUCUUUUCUUCUUGAAACCUUAUUCACCUGCUGCAUUAUUCCCUUGGUAAGUAAAUUAUUGUAUUCUUGGUACCAUGCUCAGACUUUUUUACUUUAUGUGCAGAUAUGUAAUCAGAUGGCGUAGGCAUAAGAUGAUACUUAUUUUAAAUGUGUUCUUAUGUUUCUGAAUAAAUUCUGCAUUACUCUCUAUUGAGGUCUCACAACAAAUUAGCACAUUGCAGGUCACCAGAAAUUGUCUUUUAAAAAUACAUUGGAAUAAUUAAUACUGAAAUGGAACACCAGAAGCAUUCAAGAUCAGUAACAGUUUGCUGGUCAUAAUACAAUUGUUAUUAUAAAGGCUGCAAAGCAAAUGCGUUCAAUCACUUUUUUUCUACAGUUUAUGCAAAGGACACAAAAGACCUUCUUCCAUGUAUGUUCUGACUAUAUAUGUGGUAUGUGCACACAUCUGUAGAAAGAAAAUAGUUAAAUUCCACAAAUGUUGAAGGAAUAGCCAGAUAAAAAACCGCACAGACACCCAGUGAGUUGCAUUUUUCAUGUACCUCAAACAUGCCACUAGCAUUCUGACUCUAAUCUUUCUCCACCAGGAUUUAAUAUACUAACACUCCAGGCAACUUUAAACAGCUAGCAAUCCUAAUUAAUGAAAGCUCUGACAGAGAAAGUCCUCCCUUGUUAUUCCUCUAACCCCACCCUCACCACAACUGGACAGCUGAAUGACAAUGGAUGCCUUGUGAAAGCAUCAAGGCUACGAAUGGGCUGUUUGUAACCAGUUGUGAAUUACCUUUAUAGACCACCAGACCAACAAUCAGUUUUGGCCAAUACCUUUUCUCUGACAAUGGCUAAUUUCAGCUGCUUCAAAGGAAGUUGUAAGAAAAAUUGUAAUGGAAUGCCUUGCCGCAAGGGGAAGUUUCUUCCUAAUGUACAUCAGCUAUCAGUUACCUAAUGCAAUUAGAAAUGGAAGGUUCCAACCUUUUUAAGGAUAUACACUGCUUCACUGCUUCUACCUCUGAAAAGUAGAAGACCUAAGAGUCAAAGAUAGUAGACUUAAAAAUUAUGACAUUAUUGUAUACAGAAUAGACAUUGUUGUCCAUUUCUGGAGGUUUAUAGAAAUUUAAUAAGUCUAAUUUUUAAAGCUAAUACAGCUAAACAUGUCCAUUAAAAUGAAUGGAAAGGCUCUAAUUUGAACUUUAGAACAGAUCCUUGGCUUCUUAGUAACUCAAAUAUCUCUCUCUUGAGCCAAAAGAAUGCAAAAUAAAGAAGCAUAAGUAAAUCUUUUCCAAUUUAAAAAAAAAUAGUUUAUUUUAAUUUUAUUAAAGUUUAGUAAAAUGCACAUAUAUUAUACAUGUCAUUUAGUGUUUUAUUGAUAAUUAUAUGUAAUGAUUUCUACUGUACAAGUAACUGAUAUGGUUUUAAUGAGCAAAAUGUAGAGGUGCAUUGAUAUAUCAGUUGCAUAUCAGACUGGCACAGGUAACAGGAAAAUUAACGUUAUUGGCAAUCAGUUUUUUUGGUUGAUAAAGUCAUGCAUACCCACAGUCACAGCAUGCACACAGCCAGGAACACAGCCCGGCAGCUUGGAGAACAGCCUUCUGCUGUUGCUCCUCAGGUGCUCUGAAACCACUCUGAGAUUCCAGCAGAACUUCCUAGGUAGAAGACAGUUCAGGAGGAUGUGGGCAACGAUUUUCCCUGCUGUGGAGAGGGAAUUCUGCAAGGUGACUGACAAGCUGAUUCUCGAUGGGGAAGCCGAUACUGUGAACCUGUUUGUCCUUGACUGGUUUCCCCUUCCAGAAAAAGGUGUAGCAUCCAUCUUCUUCUCUCAGCAGACCAUCAUCCAGUCACCUUGUUUCACUCAAAGCUGCAAUAUUGAUGUUGUAUCUCACUAAUUCCCUGGAGACAAUGCCAGUCCUUCUUUCUGGUCAUCCAUUGUGUUGGUUAUCCAUCAAUGUGCAAAUCUUCCAUGUUGCAAAAAUCACUCUCUUCUUGUGAUGUUUUCAACCACAGACAGAGUGAUCCUGCUGGAUGCAGUUAUCCAGCCAGGAGCACAUGAGACAGCUUAGGUUUAGGGCAUCUUUUCUUGCCACUUUCCCAUGUGGGGUGGGCAGAGAGGAUCCUGAAUAGGACUGCUCAGCCACAGUAGCAGCUGCUGAACUGCACUUGUCUCUCAAUCCAGGUGCAAGGAGACCAUCAAGUUACUGCCUGCUGCAUGCAGAUUUGUGGCUGGAGAUCAAUAGGUUCACUAGUCCUGUCUCCAUCACCACUGAUCCAUUGUCAUAGGGCUUUUGGAGGUUGGUACACGAGAAGCCUGAGCAUGACUGUUUAACACAUGGAAGCUGGUGCACAGAAAAAGCUAUCAUACAGUCUUGACAAGUUGGACAUCUGAGCCCAGUGGCAGGGGAGAACCCACACAACAGGGUACCUCCAUCUUGCUGUUCCCUUCAUCCGUCUUUACCAUUAUUGAGAUCCUGACAUCCUGGACUCUGGUGUGUUUGGAACCUCCUCCCAGGCCUGUUCGCCUUGGAUAACCCUGCCAGGAAUGUGAGACUCUGAGUGACAUACCUCUGAGGGUCACUGGGAUACACAAGCCUCCCCACCACUACAAGGUCUCAGUCCAUGGAAAGGACUACCUCUACUGACUACAUUGUUCAUCCUGUGUGGGACUAAGCAAGAACUCUGAACCUAAUGACUGUGCUGAACUGCUAAUAGUGGAUUGAGGUGGGCUACUGGUUCUUAAAUCUGUCAUCCCAUCUCCCUUUCCCACAUUAAUAAACUCUAUUAUAGUCUGGUAUUGCUUGUGAGUGGGGAAUUUGUUUACAUUGGGACACCCAGGCAGAAAUUAUUUUCCUGGGUUUUUGGGGACUCGAGGCAAGAUAACUGAUUUGUGUAAAAGAACUCAGCCUUUGUUGCUGACAUCUGGUGCCUGGCAGAAGUUACAUAUAUGUAUUCAUACAUGUGUCAUUCAUCCCUGAAACAUGGAAGAUGCCAUAUUUUGGCCAAUUUUGGAAAUAUAAACUUCAUUGCUGAACAAGAAGGAAAGAUUUUGUUUGAGCCUCCCUGCCUUUCUGACAUAUGAUACCUCCAGGGAUGAGAACAGCCUUAUCUGCACAUCAAGGAGCAAGUCACACAAAGGACUCUCAGGGACCCAGGGGAACAGAUAUCCAGCCUCAAAAUUCCCCUGUGCAAAAUGAAGUUUAUUUUCUACCUAAGAGGAUUUUUACAAUCCUGGAUUUGUCCUCAGCUCGAAGAAGGGCACGUGUGCCUGAAAGCUUGUAUAGCAAGAUAAGUUUUCUGAGAUUUCUUAGUUGGUUUAUUAAAAGGCAUCAUCUCUGAACCAAGAGUUCUAGAGUUUUGCAUGUCAUUCAUCUAUGCAUUCAUACUAAAUUGAUGGAAAUAUGCAUAUGCUUACUGCAAGAUAUUUUUCAUACAUCUGAUCUCAUUUAAUGUGCUUCUGUGUUACAUCCUAUAAAGAAGGGUGAGCUUGAAUAGCUAUAACAAAGUAUAUGGUAAAUGAUUAUAUUUAACUAGAUAUUCAUAUGCAGGCAUGUAGGAAUGGUUUAUAUCAACCCACAGCCAGAGCUGGCACUUUUGAGCUGACCAAAUAGCCAGGGCUUUACAUGGCAUAAUUAUGCUAUUUUUCUGGUACACAUCUUCUUUGUUAAUUUAUUUGCUUAAUGCUCAUUGAGAAUACAAUAUUUCUUCCAUCCAAAUUAGGUAGUAAAAAAGAGAUACAUCUUUUAAAUACAACAUGCACAUUGCUUUUCUCAGCAUGUUUUAACGGUACCCAAACAGAUGUUCCUGUAAAUGACAUGUUGCAUCUCUGUAGACCAUUCUUGUAUAAAUAUAAAUUCAUGCAAAGAAAAUAUGAGAUUAAAAUGUAGUAACAGAUUGAACUUUUUGGGCCACUAGUGCUGCUUAGGGUUUAUUUUACUAAAGUUAGAAAUGUCAUCUUGAAUUCCAAGCUGCCAGUACAAUUUGUAAUGUGAAAAUUCUAAAAGCCCCAAGAAGUAAUCUGAUUAUAUAAAUAUGGCAAGUGCCAAAGAAUAUUAAAUUGAAGGUCUGAGUUAAUAAGUUUUCCAAU